rnacentral:rRNA from 1 species
UACGAAGGGUGCAAGCGUUACUCGGAAUUACUGGGCGUAAAGCGUGCGCAGGCGGUUCGUUGUGUCGGCGGUGAAAGCCCCGGGCUUAACCUGGGAAUGGCAAUGGAUACUGGCAGGCUAGAGUGCGGUAGAGGGUAGUGGAAUUCCCGGUGUAGCGGUGAAAUGCGUAGAGAUCGGGAGGAACACCAGUGGCGAAGGCGGCUACCUGGACCAGCACUGACACUGAGGCACGAAAGCGUGGGGAGCAAACAGG